rnacentral:rRNA from 1 species
CCUGCCGGACCUGACUGCUAUCGGAUUGAUACUAAGCCAUGCGAGUCUUUGCAGUAAUGCAAGGCAUACGGCUCAGUAACACGUAGUCAACCUACCCUAUGGACGAGAAUAAUCUCGGGAAACUGAGCAUAAUUCUUGAUAGAUCAUAAUGCCUGGAAUGGUUUAUGGUUAAAAUGAUUCGUCGCCAUAGGAUGGGACUGCGGCCUAUCAGCUUGUUGGUGAGGUAAUGGCCCACCAAGGCGAUUACAGGUACGGGCUCUGAGAGGAGAAGCCCGGAGAUGGGUACUGAGACACGGACCCAGGCCCUAUGGGGCGCAGCAGGCGAGAAAACUUUGCAAUGUGCGAAAGCACGACAAGGUUAAUCCGAGUGGUUUCUGCUAAAGGAACCUUUUGUUAGUCCUAAAAACACUAACGAAUAAGGGGUGGGCAAGUUCUGGUGUCAGCCGCCGCGGUAAAACCAGCACCUCAAGUGGUCAGGAUGAUUAUUGGGCCUAAAGCAUCCGUAGCCUGCUCUGUAAGUUUUCGGUUAAAUCUGUAUGCUCAACAUACAGGCCGCCGGAAAUACUGCAGGGCUAGGGAGUGGGAGAGGUAGACGGUACUCGGGAGGAAGUGGUAAAAUGCUUUGAUCUUUCGAUGACCACCUGUGGCGAAGGCGGUCUACCAGAACACGUCCGACGGUGAGGGAUGAAAGCUGGGGGAGCAAACCGGAUUAGAUACCCGGGUAGUCCCAGCCGUAAACUAUGCAAACUCAGUGAUGCAUUGGCUUGUGGCCAAUGCAGUGUUGCAGGGAAGCCGUUAAGUUUGCCGCCUGGGAAGUACGUACGCAAGUAUGAAACUUAAAGGAAUUGGCGGGGGAGCACCACAAGGGGUGAAGCCUGCGGUCAAU